UCCGGGCUUCGGGCUAUUUCAGGGCUGCAGCCACCGGGUCUCCUGACUCCCCGCCCGCCUCGUUCGGGCUUCUUCCUGCGCGCCGUCCGGCGUCUCUCCCGACCCUGCAACAUGGGUCUUCGGCCGCACUCGCUGCUCGCCGCCCUCCUGCUGCUCCUGCUAGGACUCCGCGGCGUGCGCUGCGAUACGCCGGCCAACUGCACCUACCCGGACCUGCUGGGCACCUGGGUCUUCCAGGUGGGCCCCGGCGGCUCCGGGCGCGACGUCAACUGCUCGGCCAUGGAACCACCAGAAAAAAAAGUAGCGGUGCACCUUAAGAAGAUGGAUACAGCCUAUGAUGACUUUGGCAAUACUGGAUAUUUCACCAUUAUUUAUAACCAAGGCUUCGAGAUUGUGCUGAAUGACUACAAGUGGUUUGCCUUCUUUAAGGAUGUCACUGAUUUUGUCAGUCAGUUGUUCAUGCAGCUGGGAUCUGUGGGGAUGUAUGAUUUACCACAUCUGAGGAACAAACUGGUACGAAAACUGAGAAUGAAAAGGGAGCUGGGAACCAGUGUUGAAAGCACUAUAUCCUUACCUAACGUCAGGAUUUUAUAAACUUUAUAAGAAACUAGUAAUGUCCUACACUUUUGUCAAGUAGAAAUUUUUCAUCAAUUGUGUUAUUAAGUAGAGCAUCUGUUGAGGGGCUUUUUUAAAACCACAGCCAAGAACAGACUUUGGGCCUAAAAAGCAGAGCAGCAUACAGCAGUGGACCUACCUCUAGCAGCUAGCAAGGACUGUGCAGCUGCACCCACUUUGGAGCCUUUAUUUGGAGUCUUUAUUUAAAAUACAGAGGAGUCCUGGUGACCUACCUCCAAGGCAGCUGCCUCCUGAACAUUUCCUUGGAAAGCACUAACCACCAUUAUGGAGUGUGAACAACCAGAAACUGCACAGGAAAAAGGAGAAAAUCUAUCUGGAAGAAAUGAAGUCUUAGGUGGCUUUACCGUUCAGCUUUUUAAUAAAAAGAAUAACAUACAAGAUGUUAAGUGUUGUUUUGUUGUUGAAUUGUUUGAAUAUUCUUCUAUUGAAAUGACUUUUUCCAGACUGCUCAAGAUUUGAAAUUUGUGUUCCCUUUGAUUAUUCACAGUACAGAUUUUAUAGUUAAGUUGCUUCUCUCUGAGUGCUUUUUCUACUUACUUUGAGGAACCAAUUCAAGAACCUAAUGUAAGAAGAAAAUAAGGUUUUGGGAAUUUCUUGAGAUGGACACCUGUAAGUUACUGGAGGGAAGAUGAUCAUGUGGUACAUGUUCACAGAAACUAAACAGAGGCUGUCUCAGAUAAGGGAGGCAUCUAAAGAUCUUCCUUCAGACCUAUACACCUAUAGCCCGUAGCCUCUGGCUAGAAAAAUGGUAUGGUUAAUACCUUACACCCCUGUCCCCACCCUGCUCUGGCCCUGCUUUUUGCAAUAGGUGGCAACCUUGUGCUAAAAACAUAACUAUAAAUUUAAAAAACUAUAAAUUUUAAAAACUAUAAUUUAAAAGCCUGUAAAGUGGAUACUAGUAAUUCCAUUGUACAGAUAAAGAAAAUUAGUCUUACAAUGCCUAAUCUCAUAUAACUUCUAACUUGUUAGAGUUAGUCUUUCAAGCACAAGAACUUCCCUGGAAUAAAAAGUAAAAAAAAAAAAAAAAAAGCCAUUUUGCAAAAGAAUCAUAUAAUUGUGGGGCUGGGGAUUUAGCUCAGUGGCACCCUGCCUGCCUCGCAAGCGCAAGGUCCUAAGUUUGAUCCCCUGUACCGGAAAAAAAUUAUGUAAAUGAUACUUAGACAUAUUUAGGUAGAUUUUCUGGUGAAUUCCAAUAUAUAAGCAUCAUGAAUGUUUUAUUAAUGGAGUUACUGCAUUGGUUCCUAUUAAGGUGUUAGAGGAAUUGCUUUCGAAGUUUAGACUUCUUUGCCAAUUAGGCUACUCAGAUUCUUGACUAAAAUUCAUUCAGGAUGAAAACUUACUUUCUUUUUGCCUUUAUAGAGUCAAAAUUGGAAAGAACACUUUUAAACAUCAAACUACAUACACAUUAAAUCUCUUGCCAAAUAGGCUUCUCUUAAUUAUACCAUUGUUCAUACUGAUUGCUAUCAUUUUUAGCUCUUUCCUCCUCAACAAUAGACUCAUUUCCUCUUAACUUGAUUUAGAGCUUAUUUGGUAGACCUAAAAUGUGGGGUACACCUCACAUAUCUGGGAGGACUUUUCUCCUCUGUCUUCACUUGAAUAGAGAAAUUUUUCUCUAGAUAGUAGUUUGUCAGCAAGGAUGACAAUUGUCUACCAUGUGGGAGGACCUGGUCUGCUAUUUUAGGUAUCUCCUAAAUACCUACAAAAUACUUUUUUCCAUCUUACCUCUGGACUUGAUAAAUUCUUCACUCAGGACCUUGAGUAUGAAGGUCCAUUAGUGGAGGAAACUCCAUUACUUUGGUUCUCACAGCACUUUUCAGGUACCUUUGGUUUCAUGCUUAUUAUACUGGAAUGAUUUGAUAGCAUGUCUUCAUCUUCUUACAGGUUUAAAGUUUGUAUUUCUCCCUCUAUGUCUUCAGCAUUUAAUGCACACAGAACUUCCUAGGUUCUUGGAAGAAAAAUGACAUUUUAUACAUUUCACAAAUAAUGCCAGAAAAUUUACAAAGAAUUUUACUGUGUCCUAGAAACACAAAUCAGAAUGGUGCUAUGUUUAUUUUAGCUAUCUGCUCUAAAACAUUAUCAGGUUACCUGCCUUCAGAGCUCUAAAAGUAUUGUAUAUUUUUUUCUUUUUUAAACAUUUUUAUUAGUAUAUGUUUGCAUUACAUAAUUAUUACAUUCAUCAUAAAGAGUUGGUACAUUUCAAGCUGAUUUUCAAGAUGUAAAUACUGUCAAGGCAACUGAUAUACAUAUGUUUACAUAGAUUAUAUAUCACUUAUAUUCAUUUAUAUGGGAAUGCAUCUAAUAUGGAGUUUUAAAAAAUUACCAAAGAUUUUUGUUUCUCAAGUAAUGUUGUAUCUAUUUCAAUUCUGGAAACCAUUGGAAUUGCAAAUCUAUGUUAGAAGGCCCCACAAUAUGAUAGGGCUUUGCAUUUUCUGUUAUAACGGCUUGUUCUCUUCCCCUCUGGUCUUUAAACUCCAUUAGGGCAAGAGCUAACCCUGUAUCAAUAACCAUUUUUAUUCCCUACAUGUAAUGCAAUAUGUGACAAAUAACUGGAAAACAAUAGCCUUUUAAUAAAUAUUUGUAAAAGAUAA